CCUCGCUUCCCGCUCUGUUGCAGUAAUUCUGCUGUUCCCCCGCAGAGCGGUUCUCGCCCCCGCUGACAGCGCCGCGGCUCUCUGCUGCCCUCCGGUGGUCGCCGUGCGGUACUGCAGGCACUGCCCACCUGCGCGGUGCACGGGAGCGCUUCUGACAACGUGGCUGUGCGCUGCGGGAGAGGCUGCUUACCUGCUGUGCGUGGCGAUGUGCCCGAAGCCGUGAGGAACCGCCACGUUAAAGUAGCUCUGUGGUCGGGAGUGGGACGGGACAGAUGGAAAAGCCUAUUUGCUCCUAGCAAGCUCGGCAGUGCUUGUCUCUGGGUGAUCGCGGAGCCGCUCCAUGCAGGUCCGGGGAGGAUGCGGUGCCGGGGCCGCUCCACGCCAGUUCCGCGACCGCGAAUCUCCGAGCUUAGUCGCGUUCCACUGCCGCUGAGAGCGCUUUUGAAUGGCUGCGGGACGGUGCAGGGCGAGGGUGGAGGGCGAUGCCUGCCAGUCCACCGCGGCGACGGGACUGGAUGCUCAUCCAAAAUCUGUGCCGCCUGCGCGUCUUCGAGCGCAUGUGUGUUGCGACUGGAGGGCUUCUCACCAUGAAGUUUGGCGGAUUCGCUGCGCAGAGCGGUCAAAAUUCCGAUACGCUAUUUCCGCAUCCAGGUGCGCAUGCCUCGUGCUGCCUGCGGCACCAAACACACACGGCCGCAGUUCCGCCGAUUGGCCACGCGGGGGCAGCAGAGACGGCGGAAACAACCCCGAGCGUACUGAUGCGGAUCCGCACGGCCGUCCCCGGCGAUCCGUUCUUUCUUUCGAUGGCAGAAGAAAAACGCAGUUAGGAGAGGAAGGAGGGGAGAAGGGGAGACAACGAAGAAAACCAAGAAAAACUUCAACAAACCCACCAAACCCAUGCUAACAUCGGAGGUGAUGAAAAAACAUGGUACCAAUUGGACAGAUGUGUGCAGCAAAGCCAAGGAUAGCUUGGAACAAUUAAUCAGAGCAACGCAAAACAGCCGAGCAGCUCUUAGAAGGAACAUCGCAGUAACAGCCUCCAUACCCGACCUCACCACCCUGAGAUGCCGCCCAGCUCACCCAAGGCUCAGAGAUAUCCACCGGAUGGGUUUCGAUAUUGAGUGAUUUGCUGUCAGUUCUCUCAUUCACAGCCGAUGCCAGGAUUGCCGCAGGGCGUUCUGACCGCGGGCACUGCAGCUGAACUGUCUCAGUAGCAGCGGGAUCCCCAGGCACAGGCUCAAGGAUUUCAGUCUACUUUUGACCCAAAUGAGGAAUUAAUAUGAAGCACGAGGUAUGUGUAAGUCAUCAUGAGGCACGGUGCUCAGCAUCACUUUUGGGAAACAGAUAAUGGAUUUGUCAUCAAAAUCAAAGGGAGUUCUACACAGGCAGAAGGAAAAGAACGGUCAUUUCUUUCAGUAUUUGAAGUAAGCAAGUAAGCAAUCCGUGACAGAAGCCAUUCCUAGGAUACUGCUAUGGGAAACAGCAGCAGAGAAGAAAGCAUCCACAUUUCCCUGAACUACGGCUGCAAGGAAAGAAAGAAGAAAAAUGCAUUUCUUGUAGACGUGACCUGUUAGAAGGCAAUCAACCCCUCACGCCUUAAAAGCAUUAAAGAAAAAAUACAAUGCACAGAGUGAUCUCCUCCAGCAAUACGUGUAUCUGGUCCAGGCAGCACAUGGCGCCACUCUGUGCCAUAAAGAAUGAAAGCCAUAAGCACCGAGCUCCAAAGCUCCAGCCAAACCAACCCAACGUGUCCAUGGACAGGCAGGAUCCUUAAGUAGGACAGUCAGUGAAAGCAUCCAACAAAGCAGCUGAUUCCCAGCCUUCUUGUUUCUUUCUGAACAUCCAGAGGUCUCCCUGUUGGCUUCACCUCUGACCUGUAAAGCCUGAGCUUGCAGUCCCUUGGAAGCCCUUGUAAGCAGAGAAUUGAGACUGGACUGGAUUUUAGGAAGGCGUUGCAUCAGAUCAAAAUUAGUGCCUCCCUGAGGGAUAAAGCACAGGGCUAAAGAAAAACAGCUGAGUUCCUAGAGAACAAAGUUGAUUGGUCCAUACCUGAAGGAAGCAGAACAGAUGCCGAUGGGCUGCCAGCCUUUGUUCCCUCUUCUACUCGCUCAAAGCUUUCAAACCUCCCUUUUGCUUCUUGUACUGCUUAGAAAGUUUUUUGCUGUGAGAAAUGACAUCCUGCAAAGGACAGAGAGGGACAGAUCCCACGCUUAAGUAUUCCAAAACCAGCAAUACUGGAAACAGUUGCAGCUGAGAAGCCACUUUCUUGCAUGUGGAAAAGUCAGAGGCAAGGUAUGUCUGGGGCUGAUGAAGGGGAACAUCAUCUGUUAGAGCACCGAGUUCUCCAUGGCGUCCCUGAAUUCCUGACUUUGUUGAGAACCCCAGGACAAAUUGCUCCGAGCAGAGCUGGCAGCGUCCUGUAGAUGCUCGAAAAUGCCUCUCUUUCUAAACUGGGCUGUUUUCUAUUUUGCUGCCUCGCUGCCUCCCCGUACUCUGAGAACGAUGGCACUUUGCUGCCAGCAUCAGCCCAAGCGUUGGAGCCUCCUUCGGAACUGAACCUUACUGCCACAGGUCAAGCUGUGCGCCGCGCUAUUCAGGACCAAAGGAAAAGGUGACCAGAACUUCAGCUUGAAUGAAAAAGGGCACCGCUGCAUCAGUGAUACCAGACAGCAGGCCAAGCAGCAGCCAGUGCCAGAUAGGAUUAACAGCAGCGCGUCUGAACAGCUUCUGACAACACCUGGAAUUUCUUGUGCAGAAUAAAUCACGACAGAAGCCGACAUUAAGGGAUGAGGUAUCAGCCUGGGGUAGCCCACGUUGCUGAAUGUGUUGCAAACUGUGGUUCUGUUUCUCAGCAGCAGCAGCACUAUCAGGAAUUGAGUUUUCCUUCAGCCUCAGCAACUGUCUGCUCUUGGCACCGCUUUACCAAUGUCAUCCUGACUGACCUUCAUAACUGCCCUGAUGUUAUACAUCAUGCUAGAAGUAUUUAUUGCAAACACAGAUUCAGUGCACGUUGGUGUUAUUCUUUCAGCAAUACUCACUGGGGGUUUUGUCCUCUUCUCGUGCUUUGUUUGCUCAGAUAAAGGCUUGAAUUUUUACAGCGUCAUUUCUCCAGGACUGAAGAACAACAACAACAGCCAUUUCAGCUCCUUUAGGGAAGAGUAAUGAAUCCAUUGAACGGCUUCUUAUGUGGCCUCUGAAGCACCACAGGUGAUCUCUGUAACGCCUUCUGGUUUGAUACAGCCUGGUUACUAAUUGAAUCUGUAGGAAAGAAACCAAAAUAGGUCAGACAAAAGGCCUUUCCAUAGUUGUUGCUAUCCAAAAUGUUUACCAAAAACAAAACAAAUCAACAGGGAGCCUUUGCUACCUUCACUCCAGUCCUGGUGUGCUCGCAAGUAACCCAGUUUGAUAUGCCUUCCGCUGCUUAUAGCCACGGCACUUUUGCAGUUGUGCAGGUCCAUCAGUCUCAGCUGCAGCUUCUGAUCUGGCCUUCUCUGGUCCUGAUUCAGCUGCUUGAAGACCAAUAGUCUUCAAAACUCCUCAUCUUGGAGUAACUCCUGAGCACAACCUGGGCUCCUGGGUUCAGCAUCAGCUGUGCCUGUGGGAUAUUGGAUCUGAGUCUUCAACUUCCACCCCGAGUUGUAGAGUGAUCCAGGACACCAAAAAGGGCCUGACUGUUCCUUUUCCGUCCCGCGCCGCAGCGCUGCUCUCUCCCCGCGGCGGUGGCGCCUCCCCGCCCGUUCCACGGCCGCUCAGCGACGCUGCACGGACCGGACCGCCCCUACUUCCGCGUUUGUGUGCGCAUGCGUGGUACCGCCUAGCGAACAGCACACCGUACCGACGGGACUGACGGCACUGAGCGCCGGAAGCAAAGCUGCCCUACUUCCACGUCUGCGGGCGCGCGCCUUGUACUUCCGUAAGAAUCUUUUACCAUAGAGACCGGCGGCGCAGAGCAGCAGCGGUAAAGAAACGCCACUUCCGCAUUUCUGUGGCGCGCGGGUUGCUGCCUAGCAGACGGGUGACCAUAGAGCCUGGAGGACUGGAGACAAAGGCAGGCGUUUACUGGAGCACGCGCAGUAGCGAUUGGACGAGCAGAUGCCAUACAUCCGGAAGCCGCGGUUCGAUGCGGAGCGGCCUGGCGCUGCCGGACAGCGGAGCGGACGGGGCAGAGGGAGCCGAACCGGCCCGUUCCCGGGGUUCGCUCGGGCACGCAGGACGGAGCUCCGGGAGCCGGAAGGCGUUGGGCGCUGACGCAGCUCCUGGUCUGAGCUGCGGGGCUCGGGACGGGGGGAGCUGGGAGCACAUAGAGCUGUUUUUAAGGGGCGCGUGGGGCGGCUGCUGCUGCAUCCGUUCUCUUAAGGCUGAGCGCGCUCGCCGACCGGCGAUCCGUUGAUUCUUUCUGUGCUCGGGAGCGUUUUGCCGGGAGGAGCUGCGGUUUUAGCGGAGGGUUCGGCUGUCUCCGGAUGUGCUCGGCCGCGGAGCGAGGAUUUGGGAGUUUGUAGCGAUCAAAGCUUUCCGGAGGCAGCCAAACGCACUGCGGAGCUCCUUGUACCCUCAGGGCCUCCUGGCACCGCCCGGAGAAUCCUCAGGCACUUUCCCGGGGCAGCCGCCCCCCGGUCAGACACCACCAAAGCUCUGCUCCUCCAGGCCCCACCGAGCCUUCCUGCGGGGCUUCCAAGGGCCCACUGUAGAGACUGAGGCACUCUACAACACUGGUGGAACCCGGUGCCCUCUGAUGGGACCUGAAGAUCACCCAGGGCCUCAUGGUGAUCUCCAGAGACACCCGGACACGUCCCAGUGCUGUUGGAGCACCUGCUGUCUGCUCAGUGCCAUUCUCGCCUCCCCCAGCUCCAACAGCACACACACACACGGGGCAGAGCCAUCCAUGCCAUGUACUCACAUCCCAUCCUCCAUUAUCAGGAGCUGCACCCAACCACACACCCCACCUCCAACAACAACAGACAUCAGCUGUAACGAAUCAGGAAACUUUAUAUACCUGGAAAAAAGUCCCUCCACCCCAAAACCAUCUUAAUUAAGGAGACUCCUUGUGCCACAACACCCCUAACUCUGACUGCAGUAGCCCCUCCAUGACCAAGAUCAAUCCCUGGAGCAGCUCCUCACCCCUCCAUCCCUGCAGAGCCUCAGGCUGGACUUGCUGUGAUCCACAGUGCUCCUGCAGCUUGGCCAUGCUGUUGGAUGAUGUGGUGCAGCCAGGUGCCUGACAUUGCACAGCACCGUGGCAGCCCAAGGAGGCAUCACAUUGUGUUUCCUGGAAGAUGGCAGAGCAGAGCAGGCCUCAGGCAGCCUCCACUGGGAGCCCGCAGCUGCGGCCUCAGCCCAAGGUGCUGCAGGCGGAGCAUAAGCCCACAAGAGCUCAGCCAGUCACGUGGGUUCCCUCACUGCCCGCAUAGUAGAGCCCUGCAGGGACAAACAGGUUAGCAGAGUGGUGGCCACCAGCCGUAUGUGGCCACCAUUAUGGCCAGGUGGCCGUGACCCCAUGAUGAUAACUCAUCAUGGCCAAACUGCAGGGGUCGGGCUGGACACCCAGCACAGGGCUGAGAGGAUGUGGUGGGUAAGGGUCAGCUCCAUUGGGGUUCCUAUGUGGCCUUCAGCGUGUACCAUUACACCUCUGCAUGUCCUUGGGGUCCCUCCAUGGGGGUAUGAGUUCACUUCAAGCACAAUCAGUCCUCUGGAAGCUUUUAUGUAGCUGUGGGUUCCUACACUUAGCCUUAGGUUCUCACCAUAGGACCUAAGGAUCCCCAUGAGCAAAAUCAGCUCAGCAGAAGCUUCUAUAGGGCCAUAGGGUUCCCACGAGGGGGUCCUUUCACACAGGGCACAGUUCCUAUAGGAGCUUCCACUGGGCCUUGGCAUCCCCAGCAUUAGGUUUUGAGCUUCCCCCGGCCAGGCUCCUUCUCCACAAGGUUCCCCUGGCUCCAAGCAUACCUUAGCCCGCAUGGUGAUGCUAAGCAGGAGGUGGAAGCCAGGCCUGGAGGGGUGUGGUGCACCAUGGGGGCGCAGCGAACCCCUCUGGCAGCCCCAGAAUUGCAAAGAGUAGGAAGACAACAGGAACUGGUGGGGUCUUGGCAGGGAGACAGAGGAUCUUGGAAAGGUAGCUGCUUCCAAGAUGGCCGCUCCACCUCCAAAAUGGCAGUGAUGAUCCCACAUUGCUGGACCAUGCAGGGGUUCCACCAGCACUCCACAGGGAGCUUCCUUGAGCUGCACAAGGCAGCGCGGCGGGACGAUCUUGGUCGAGGCUUUGACGUGGUGGGCUCAGCCACGGGGGGGCUGCAGGCCGGCAGAGAGAAAGUGCUGGGGCUCACCAGGCAGGAUGGUGACUGGCAGCGGCGGAGUGGUGAAAGGACCCCACAGUGGAGUAUGGGAAGCCAGCAGGGUGGCCCUGGGGAGACGGGGGCAUUCGUGGGCACAGGGACACCCUGGGUGCCCACAAAGCAUACCACCAACCCCCCCCUGCACCACUCACCUGUGGGCCAGACUGGGGGUGGAGCCUGGAGAUGGGGCUGUGGGGGAGAGGGGCGGGGUCAGAGGAGAAAGGCGAGGCUGGAAAUGGGUGGAGUCAAGAGAGCAGUGGGGAAGCCAAGGGGCGUGGCUAGGGAGUGGGCAUAGCGAUCAGGGGUGUGCAGGGGAGGGGCUCUGGGCAGGGGGCACGGCUACAGGCACAGGGAUAAAAGGGUUGGGCUGGAUAAAUACGAAGGUGAGGUGUGCAGCUAAAAGGGAUGUGGUUUAGGAGCCUGGUGGUGGGCACAGCUGGGAGAGGAGAUGGCACUGGCAGCAGAUUUGGGGGCUCACCCAGCCACGUCGGGGUGCUGCUGGCCGAGGGGAGUUCCAGUGAGGCCAAGCGGCUGUAUUAUGGAGGGGGAGCACAUUUGAGGGGAAAAGACACAAAUCUGAGGGUGUUUCCCCCAGUUUCUGCAAGAGGGCAAUGUGGGAGCCCUGCUCACCUCACCACCUGCCCACUGAGCUGCCGCCGAGGCUGUGGGGUGACUGGAGCAGACAGAGACCUUUUAAUGAGGUUCCUCUUGAAAUUGGGGGUAAGUGGGUAAAAUGAGGGGGGGGGCUCUACCUGUCGUUGCUGGGGAAGUGAUGCCAAUGGGCCGAGGAGUGCUGCUCCUGCAUGGAGAAAUAUGGGGUGCUGAUUGUUGGACCCUCUGCCUUUCCCCAAAAUUAUGCUGCUUGGGGCUCACCUGCUCGACCGCCACGUAGGGGAGACCUGUGGGAAGAAAAGGAGUUAAACUGGGAAAAAUGAGAGUAAAAUGGGGAGAAGUACAGGAAUAACUGGGAAAAGGGGGCAGAAAUGAAGGGUUAAUUUGGUAAAAGAGGGUGUUAAAUGGGGAAAAAUGGGUAGAAUGGGUAAAGGGGGGCUUAAAUCUAAAUCUGUCUAAAGGGGGCUAUAAGGAUGGGGACAGAUUCUUUAGCAGGGUCUGUUGUGAUAGGACAAGAGGAAAUGGUUUCAAACUAAAAAAGGAGAAACGUAGAUUGGAUAUAAGGAAGAAGGUUUUUUUACAGUAAAGGUGGUGAGGCACUGGCAAAGGUUGCCCAGAGGGGUGGUGGUAUCCCAACCCUGCAGACAACCCCGGGCAGGGGAUGGGGCUCUGAGCACUGAUGGAGCUUUGGGUGUCAGUGCAGGGAGUGGGGCCAGAUGGUCUUAGAAGGGCCCUUCCAACCCAAAAGAUUCUAUGAUUCUAAAUGAGGAAAAAUAGGGAGCUAAAUAAGGAAAAAUGGAGGGCUAAAUUGAGAGAGGUUAAAUGAGAGAAAUUGAGAGUUAAAUAUAGGAAAAAAAAAAAAGAGGUUAAAUGAGGAAAAAAGCAGGCUUAGGUGGUGAGGAAAGGGUGAGCAUUAAACAAAGGAAAAAAAGGGUGACCUCAGCCUCCCGCAGGUGCCUCCGCAGCUCCCCGUUCUCCCUCCGCAGUGCGUCUGCUUCCCUGUGGGAAGCCUGAGUGAGGCUGUGGGGGGGCACAGGGCGCCCCCAGGCAGUGGCACUCACCUCUGCUUGGAGUCCAAUGCCCGGCGGGCAUCCCGCAGUGCUGCCUCAGCCCGAUGCACUGUGUCACGGUGGGAGGCAAGCAGCAGGUUCACCUGUGCCUGCUGGAAGCGCCAGGCCUGAGGGGAGAAACUUGGGGUUUAUUGUAUUUUGGGGGUGUUUACAGAUGGUGG
rnacentral:lncRNA from 1 species